AGAGUUUGAUCCUGGCUCAGGAUGAACGCUGGCGGCGUGCUUAACACAUGCAAGUCGAACGAAGCACUUUAUUUGAUUUCCUUCGGGACUGAUUAUUUUGUGACUGAGUGGCGGACGGGUGAGUAACGCGUGGGUAACCUGCCUUGUACAGGGGGAUAACAGUUGGAAACGGCUGCUAAUACCGCAUAAGCGCACAGCAUCACAUGAUGCAGUGUGAAAAACUCCGGUGGUAUAAGAUGGACCCGCGUUGGAUUAGCUAGUUGGUGAGGUAACGGCCCACCAAGGCGACGAUCCAUAGCCGACCUGAGAGGGUGACCGGCCACAUUGGGACUGAGACACGGCCCAAACUCCUACGGGAGGCAGCAGUGGGGAAUAUUGCACAAUGGGCGAAAGCCUGAUGCAGCGACGCCGCGUGAGCGAAGAAGUAUUUCGGUAUGUAAAGCUCUAUCAGCAGGGAGGAUAAUGACGGUACCUGACUAAGAAGCACCGGCUAAAUACGUGCCAGCAGCCGCGGUAAUACGUAUGGUGCAAGCGUUAUCCGGAUUUACUGGGUGUAAAGGGAGCGCAGGCGGUGCGGCAAGUCUGAUGUGAAAGCCCGGGGCUCAACCCCGGUACUGCAUUGGAAACUGUCGUACUAGAGUGUCGGAGGGGUAAGCGGAAUUCCUAGUGUAGCGGUGAAAUGCGUAGAUAUUAGGAGGAACACCAGUGGCGAAGGCGGCUUACUGGACGAUAACUGACGCUGAGGCUCGAAAGCGUGGGGAGCAAACAGGAUUAGAUACCCUGGUAGUCACGCCGUAAACGAUGAAUACUAGGUGUAGGGGUUGUCAUGACCUCUGUGCCGCCGCUAACGCAUUAAGUAUUCCGCCUGGGGAGUACGGUCGCAAGAUUAAAACUCAAAGGAAUUGACGGGGGCCCGCACAAGCAGCGGAGCAUGUGGUUUAAUUCGAAGCAACGCGAAGAACCUUACCUAGACUUGACAUCUCCUGCAUUACCCUUAAUCGGGGAAGUUCCUUCGGGGACAGGAAGACAGGUGGUGCAUGGUUGUCGUCAGCUCGUGUCGUGAGAUGUUGGGUUAAGUCCCGCAACGAGCGCAACCCUUAUUGUUAGUUGCUACCAUUUAGUUGAGCACUCUAGCGAGACUGCCCGGGUUAACCGGGAGGAAGGUGGGGAUGACGUCAAAUCAUCAUGCCCCUUAUGUCUAGGGCUACACACGUGCUACAAUGGCAAGUACAAAGAGAAGCAAGACCGCGAGGUGGAGCAAAACUCAAAAACUUGUCUCAGUUCGGAUUGUAGGCUGAAACUCGCCUACAUGAAGCUGGAGUUGCUAGUAAUCGCGAAUCAGCAUGUCGCGGUGAAUACGUUCCCGGGCCUUGUACACACCGCCCGUCACACCAUGAGAGUUGGCAAUACCCAAAGUGCGUGAUCUGACUCGCAAGAGAGGAAGCGCCCUAAGGUAGGGUCAGCGAUUGGGGUGAAGUCGUAACAAGGUA
rnacentral:rRNA from 1 species